UGACAGCAUGUCCGUCGACAUUUCCUCCGGACGAAGCGACUCCUCCGAGGCCUCCAGCCAGCCACAGCAGGAGAGGAGCCCUGCUCCCAGCGCCGCCCCCAACUCCUCCCAGGCCUCCAGCCAGCCACAGCAGGAGAGGAGCCCUGCUCCCAGCGCCGCCCCCAACUCCUCCCAGGCCUCCAGCCAGCCACAGCAAGAGUGGAGCCCUGUUCCCAGCGCCGCCCCUGAGCCAGCCUCCGAAGCGUCACCCUCCAGCCCCAGUGCCGGGAGCCACGUGGACCUUGCAGAGCCAGAAGCUGCUGCCGGCACAGCCCGUGAGCCCAAGGAUGCUGACACCACAGACACCAAGGCCAGCGCCCAGGGCAAGAGGCAGGGCUGUCGCGGGGUCGGCAGGAGGAUCCUCCGGUUCCUGCUGAGGGCAUGCUGCAUCCUGCCGUCCCGAGGGAGCAGCCCUGGCAGCUGCUGCAGAGUGGUCCCCAAGUAGCCUCGCCCCGCCCCCGUCUCCAGGAGCUAUCCGCUGAGCUGACUGAACUUUUCUUGAGCAUUUCCACAUGCUUCUCAUGAAUAAAAUUCACCAUGUGUGCAUGGCUUUGGUCCCGUGUGAUGUUUGGUCCCUGUGUGCACCCUGGGCAGGUGAUGGAGGUGAUGGGUGGGUGGCUCUCACAGAAAGACAAACGCUGGGCCAUCUCCCCUGUGUGGGGAUCACAGAAGGGCUGACAUCAUAGAAGUAGAGCAUAGAGUGACGGAUCCCUGAGUCUGGGCCAGGGGAGGAGGGAGGGAGAGUCACAGC